rnacentral:rRNA from 1 species
UACGUAGGUGGCAAGCGUUGUCCGGAAUUAUUGGGCGUAAAGCGCGCGCAGGCGGUUCCUUAAGUCUGAUGUGAAAGCCCCCGGCUCAACCGGGGAGGGUCAUUGGAAACUGGGGAACUUGAGUACUGAAGAGGAAAGCGGAAUUCCACGCGUAGCGGUGAAAUGCGUAGAGAUGUGGAGGAACACCAGUGGCGAAGGCGGCUUUCUGGUCAGUAACUGACGCUGAGGCGCGAAAGCGUGGGGAGCAAACAGG